rnacentral:rRNA from 1 species
CCUACGGGUGGCAGCAGUGGGGAAUAUUGGUCAAUGGACGAGAGUCUGAACCAGCCAAGUAGCGUGAAGGAUGACUGCCCUAUGGGUUGUAAACUUCUUUUAUAUGGGAAUAAAACGUUCCACGUGUGGGAUUUUGUAUGUACCAUAUGAAUAAGGAUCGGCUAACUCCGUGCCAGCAGCCGCGGUAAUACGGAGGAUCCGAGCGUUAUCCGGAUUUAUUGGGUUUAAAGGGAGCGUAGGUGGAUUGUUAAGUCAGUUGUGAAAGUUUGCGGCUCAACCGUAAAAUUGCAGUUGAAACUGGCAGUCUUGAGUACAGUAGAGGUGGGCGGAAUUCGUGGUGUAGCGGUGAAAUGCUUAGAUAUCACGAAGAACUCCGGUUGCGAAGGCAGUUCACUGGACUGCAACUGACACUGAGGCUCGAAAGUGUGGGUAUCAAACAGGAUUAGAUACCCCUGUAGUC